GACGAACGCUGGCGGCGUGCUUAACACAUGCAAGUCGAACGAGUGGCGAACGGGUGAGUAAUACGUGGGUAACCUGCCCUCUUUUUGGGAUAAGCCUUGGAAACGGGGUCUAAUACCGAAUAAUGGGGGAUGGGCUCGCGGCCUAUCAGCUUGUUGGGGGGGUGAUGGACUACCAAGGCGGUGACGGGUAGGCGGCCUGAGAGGGUGACCGGCGACAGUGACACGGAGAUAUGGCCCAGGGUCCGACGGGGUGCGGCAGUGGGGGAUAUUGCACAAUGGGCGAAAGCCUGAUGCAGCGACGCCGAGUGGGGGAUGGAGGCUUUCGGGUUGUAAACCUCUUUCGCUAUAGAACGGGUAGGUGGAGAAGAAGCGCCGGCUAACUACGUGCCAGCAGCCGCGGUAAUUC
rnacentral:rRNA from 1 species